CCUAGGGCGGCUGCAGUGGGGAAUAUUGGACAAUGGGGGGAACCCUGAUCCAGCCAUGCCGCGUGUGUGAAGAAGGCCCUCGGGUUGUAAAGCACUUUCAGUGAGGAAGAACGCCUGGUGGUUAAUACCCAUCAGGAAAGACAUCACUCACAGAAGAAGCACCGGCUAACUCCGUGCCAGCAGCCGCGGUAAUACGGAGGGUGCGAGCGUUAAUCGGAAUUACUGGGCGUAAAGCGCGCGUAGGUGGCUUGAUAAGCCGGUUGUGAAAGCCCCGGGCUCAACCUGGGAACGGCAUCCGGAACUGUCAAGCUAGAGUGCAGGAGAGGAAGGUAGAAUUCCCGGUGUAGCGGUGAAAUGCGUAGAGAUCGGGAGGAAUACCAGUGGCGAAGGCGGCCUUCUGGACUGACACUGACACUGAGGUGCGAAAGCGUGGGUAGCAAACAGGAUUAGAUACCCCAGUAGUC
rnacentral:rRNA from 1 species